rnacentral:lncRNA from 1 species
GUCUCAGCAAAAGCAACAGAAGGAUAAAGAAGAACAGGAACUAUUGGAAGAAGGAAACCUGUAGUGGUUGAUUACAAGCUGAGACCCAGAGUAGUCUACCUUCCUGAAGCCACGAGCCCUGUCCUUUUGCUUUAUUUCACACAUUUCAUGCCAGUGUCAGGCCAGAUCCAUGCUAUUGCUAUUUGUUCAUACAGUCACCAAUGCUGCAUGCACAUAUGAGUGCAGCUGUUUAGAGAACAUCCCAGUAUUCAUCAGCUGCAGAAGGGUGUGAAUGGAGGAUUAAGUUGUAUCAGGCCAAGAACUCCAGCAAGAAACCUCUAUGGAAAGACAUUGUUAUGUGGAGUCAAACGCAAAGAACAUCAAGUUCUCACAGAAGAAAUGAAAACCAGCCUCUUAGAUAGGACAUUGAACUCAAGGGAGUUGGGUUCAAUUUUCCAGCAGUUCAACCCGAGAUUUGUUUGAUUCUGAGCUAAUUAGAUAGAUUCACCAGGAUACAGGUGCAGACAAAUCAAAACCCAUGAAAAUUGCCUCCGUUUUUCCUGCACAAGAUAUCUUCAACACCAGCAUUUCUCAGAAACCAGUAGCUGCUUCGGACAGCCGCUGAAACUCCAGAUGAGCUCCUCUCUCCAAUCAGUUGUCCGGUGAAAGAGGUCUGCAGUUGGCAGAAGGGUGUUGUGAAUUUCCCCCAAGAGCCACAUGUUUCUCUUUUACUAACACUAGAUAGUAUUUAAUUCACUUUGCUAUUAGGAAUUUCGCUGAGGCCUGAGCUCCUUGCCCCAAUAUUAACAGAAAGUUUCCCACUGCUUUCAUUGGAUGUACAGCUGGGCCUGGUGCACAAAUAGCCAAGGCAGAUUUUUCACUACUGAGACUAUUAUUCGCCCUCUAUGCUUAUGUUGCUUUCAUAACAAAAUUCACAGGGUGAUUGUAUAGAAUGAUGCCUAAUAGAAAAUUCAGGGAGAAAAAAACUCCAAGGCAAAUUAGUUUCGAAGCAUUGUAUGGUGGCACUGUGACCACACAAUAUCACCAUGAUACUCAGACUGCAGACAGUCUUCCCCAUGACAGUUCAUGGUCUUCUUCAACCAACACGAUGUCUCCAGAGAUUAAGGAGUCCCAGGGACUUGGUUUACAUGCCACAGCAUACAGGCUUACUAGCUAUAGCUCAAGCACAGCUGGAAAGAUAUAAUGGAGGUCUCAGUUGUGAGAGUCCCUCAGAAAGCAUUUAAAUAAAUAAAAAAGGUCCAUUUGUACUGGCA